rnacentral:rRNA from 1 species
UGCGAUAAGCGUCGGUGAGGUGAUAUGAACCGUUAUAACCGGCGAUUUCCGAAUGGGGAAACCCAGUGUGUUUCGACACACUAUCAUUAACUGAAUCCAUAGGUUAAUGAGGCGAACCGGGGGAACUGAAACAUCUAAGUACCCCGAGGAAAAGAAAUCAACCGAGAUUCCCCCAGUAGCGGCGAGCGAACGGGGAGGAGCCCAGAGCCUGAAUCAGUGUGUGUGUUAGUGGAAGCGUCUGGAAAGGCGCGCGAUACAGGGUGACAGCCCCGUACACAAAAAUGCACAUAUUGUGAGCUCGAUGAGUAGGGCGGGACACGUGGUAUCCUGUCUGAAUAUGGGGGGACCAUCCUCCAAGGCUAAAUACUCCUGACUGACCGAUAGUGAACCAGUACCGUGAGGGAAAGGCGAAAAGAACCCCGGCGAGGGGAGUGAAAAAGAACCUGAAACCGUGUACGUACAAGCAGUGGGAGCCUCUUAAUGGGGUGACUGCGUACCUUUUGUAUAAUGGGUCAGCGACUUAUAUUCUGUAGCAAGGUUAACCGAAUAGGGGAGCCGAAGGGAAACCGAGUCUUAACUGGGCGUUAAGUUGCAGGGUAUAGACCCGAAACCCGGUGAUCUAGCCAUGGGCAGGUUGAAGGUUGGGUAACACUAACUGGAGGACCGAACCGACUAAUGUUGAAAAAUUAGCGGAUGACUUGUGGCUGGGGGUGAAAGGCCAAUCAAACCGGGAGAUAGCUGGUUCUCCCCGAAAGCUAUUUAGGUAGCGCCUCGUGAAUUCAUCUCCGGGGGUAGAGCACUGUUUCGGCAAGGGGGUCAUCCCGACUUACCAACCCGAUGCAAACUGCGAAUACCGGAGAAUGUUAUCACGGGAGACACACGGCGGGUGCUAACGUCCGUCGUGAAGAGGGAAACAACCCAGACCGCCAGCUAAGGUCCCAAAGUCAUGGUUAAGUGGGAAACGAUGUGGGAAGGCCCAGACAGCCAGGAUGUUGGCUUAGAAGCAGCCAUCAUUUAAAGAAAGCGUAAUAGCUCACUGGUCGAGUCGGCCUGCGCGGAAGAUGUAACGGGGCUAAACCAUG